rnacentral:lncRNA from 1 species
CAUAUUUGGUGGUCAACAAAAAUAAAAAUAAUAUAUUUAUAGCAACAAAAAUUGAAUUGAAAAAUAUUUGAUUUGAAGAAUACAUUCUUGAUUCCUAACGUAAGACCCGUAGAAUUGGUGAAUGAAUUGGAAACCAAAAUAAGCAAUGUUUCCCUCCCCAAAUUUGCGCCCUUUCUAUAAUGGAAACAGUAUGUGCUCUUUCACACCUGUCUCUCUCUUUCCCCCGCCCCACCUUUCCACAUCAACUUUUUUCCUCUCCGGUACAAUUAUACCUACACGGCACAUGUAUACUGAAAAUCUAAAUCUGGGUGGAUUCUGAAUUUCAUCAUUUUUCGUUCAGAUUUUGGUCAUUUAGAAAUUAGAAACCAAAAAAAUGCAUGCAAUAAAAGAGAGAGUUUCGGAAACACUAUCAAGAUUUUUUUCGGACUCCCCAUCAUCUCAAACGCCAGAUCAAGAACCCGAGGUACCCUCUUUCCUUUUGUGGCUAUCAAGAUUUUUUUCGGACUCCCCAUCAUCUCAAACGCCAGAUCAAGAACCCGAGGUACCCUCUUUCCUUUUGUGGGUCUUCAGAAUCAUGUGAAUAUUUGAUUGAAUCCAAUGUUUGAAUUGAUUGUGAGAUUUUUAUGAUUUUUUAUUAAUUAAAAUUGUUUCUUGUGUCUGAUCUGUGAAUAAAAAAUUGUGGGUUUGAGUUUUGGAUACAAUGUAUAUGUAAAUAAGUUAAAUUCCGUGA